rnacentral:sRNA from 2 species
CGAGGCAACUUUCCUCCAGGGGCCACCGUUCCAUUCUUCGGCAAACGGUUCCUGAACCGACUUGAAGUUGACUGAGUUUCAUCAUUCCAAAAACCCCCCGCCGCCGAAUCAACCAACCUUUCUUCUCUUUUUCCUGUUCAUAUGGAAUUCCUCCCAGAAUCAUAGCUGAACCGUACAUAGUCAGGUCGAGUUUGAUUGAUUGUUGAUCGAUUAGAAAAGAAAAGAAAAGAAAAGAAAAGAAAAGAAUAGAAAAGAGACCCCAAAGCAGUGCUCGCCCAUCCCAUCCCAUCCCAUCCCAUCCCAUCCCAUCCCCUUCCUCGCGCGCUGCAAAAUCACAUCACCAAAAGCCGCAAGAGCCUAGACCCCCGCCCCGCGCGCGUGUGUGCGCUGGAUCGAUCCAUGAAAGUCCAUGAAACCCAUGCAAAUUCCAUCGGAUGCUUUGCUGCAUGCACUCCACAAGCCAAGCCCGCCAUGACGCAAUGCGCUGCGCGGUAACAACAAACUUGGGUGGUUUUAUGUAUGUAUGCACAUACUGUACAUAGCUAGCUCCCUAUGCGCCCCCCGGCGAAACUUUAAGGAGGCGGUACUAUGUAGUUAAUUAAGGCUUACGGGGUUCCACUUGUGUGUGGGCUGGGAUGCUGUGCGCGUUAUUUUAUCGAGA